GUCAUCUGCAUUCACAUGGGGGCGGCGCCGGCCUCCGCCUGAAGCCCCCGCCCGGGGAGACACAAAACCCACGCGAGGCGCGGGGCGCCGCGACCCCCGCCCCGCCGCCGCCAUCGCCAUGAAUUCGGCGGAGCAGACCGUUACGUGGCUGAUCGCCUUGGGCGUGCUGGAGUCGCCCAAAAAGACCAUCUCCGACCCCGAGGGCUUCCUCCAGUCCUCCCUGAAGGACGGCGUGGUGCUCUGCCGCCUGCUCGAGCGCCUGCUCCCGGGCACCAUAGACAAAGUGUACCCCGAGCCGCGGACCGAGGGCGAGUGCCUGAGCAACAUCCGCGAGUUCCUGCGGGGCUGCGGUGCCUCCCUGCGCCUGGAGACUUUUGAUGCAAAUGACCUGUAUCAGGGACAGAAUUUCAGCAAAGUUCUCAGCUCUCUUGUGGCUUUAAAUAAGGUGACUGCAGACAUAGGACUGGGCAGUGACUCUGUGUGUGCACGUCCCUCAUCUCAUCGGAUAAAAUCUUUUGAUUCUCUGGGAUCCCAGUCUUUACACAGUAGAACUUCAAAACUCUUUCAGGGACAGUAUCGGAGUUUGGACAUGACAGAUAACGGCAACCAUCAGUUGGUGGUGAGAGCAAAAUUUAAUUUUCAACAGACAAAUGAAGAUGAACUUUCUUUUUCAAAAGGAGAUAUUAUUCAUGUUACAAGAGUGGAAGAAGGAGGCUGGUGGGAAGGAACUUUAAACGGAAAAACAGGGUGGUUUCCGAGUAACUAUGUACGAGAAAUAAAAUCAAAUGAAAAACCGGUUUCCCCCAAAUCAGGUACAUUGAAGAGUCCACCUAAAGGCUUUGAUACUUCUGCAAUUAACAAAAGCUAUUACAAUGUGGUGCUACAAAAUAUAUUAGAAACAGAAAAUGAAUAUGCUAAGGAGCUACAAACAAUGCUUUCAAACUACCUGCGACCAUUACAAGCCAGUGAAAAGUUAACCUUGGCAAAUACUUCAUACUUAAUGGGAAACCUGGAAGAAAUAAGUUCUUUCCAGCAAAUGCUUGUACAGUCUUUAGAAGAAUGCACCAAGUUGCCUGAAGCUCAGCAGAGAGUUGGAGGAUGUUUUCUAAAUUUGAUGCCUCAAAUGAAAAACUUAUACCUUACGUACUGUGCCAACCAUCCAUCAGCAGUAAAUGUUCUCACAGAACACAGUGAGGAGCUAGGAGAAUUCAUGGAGAUGAAAGGUGCCAACAGCCCUGGGAUCCUUGUACUGACCACGGGCCUCAGCAAACCUUUUAUGCGUCUGGAUAAAUACCCCACGUUACUCAAAGAACUUGAAAGGCACAUGGAGGAUUAUCAUCCGGAUCGUCCAGAUAUUCAAAAAUCCAUGACUGCCUUCAAAAAUCUUUCUGCACAAUGUCAAGAAGUACGGAAGCGGAAAGAACUUGAACUACAAAUACUGACAGAAGCUAUCCGUUGUUGGGAGGGAGAGGAUAUUAAAACACUUGGCAAUGUGAUUUACAUGUCCCAGGUCAUGAUUCAGUGUGCUGGAAGUGAGGAAAAGAAUGAAAGGUAUCUUCUUCUCUUCCCUAACAUUUUGCUAAUGUUGUCUGCCAGCCCAAGAAUGAGUGGGUUUAUCUAUCAGGGAAAACUGCCCAUGACUGGAAUGACUAUUACAAAGCUAGAAGACAGUGAAAACCAUAAAAAUGCAUUUGAAAUAUCAGGAAAUAUGAUUGAAAGGAUACUAGUUUCUUGUAACAACCAGCAAGAUUUGCAUGAAUGGGUGGAUCACCUGCAGAGGCAAACCAAAGUCACAACUGUUGGGAAUCCCACCAUUAAACCUCACUCUGUGCCGUCUCACACGCUUCCUUCUCAUCCAGUAACACCCUCCAGUAAGCAUUCAGACAGCAAGCCAAUACCACUGACUCCUGCGUACCACACUCUCCCUCAUCCGUCACAUCACGGGACUCCACAUACCACGAUAAACUGGGGACCGCUGGAACCUCCGAAAACCCCCAAGCCUUGGAGUCUGAGCUGCUUACGGCCCGCACCGCCACUGCGGCCUUCAGCUGCUCUUUGUUACAAAGAGGAUCUCAGUAAAAGCCCUAAAACCAUGAAAAAGCUGCUUCCCAAACGCAAACCAGAACGGAAGCCGUCAGAUGAAGAGUUUGCUCUGAGAAAAAGUACUGCUGCUUUAGAAGAAGAUGCUCAGAUUCUUAAAGUCAUUGAAGCAUAUUGCACAAGUGCCAAAACACGUCAAACACUAAAUUCAACAUGGCAAGGCACUGACCUGAUGCAUAAUCACGUCUUGGCUGAUGAUGACCAAUCAAGUCUAGACUCCUUGGGUCGUCGCAGUAGUCUUUCUCGUUUGGAGCCUUCAGACCUCUCAGAAGACUCUGACUAUGACAGUAUAUGGACAGCCCAUAGUUACAGAAUGGGGUCUACAUCUCAUUAUGUAUUUUAUCAUGAACCAUAAAAGAAAAGAACUGUUAUCACAAAGCAACUGUUCAGCAACUGAUUUCUCUGGACAGGCCUGUGCUCUGUAAUACCAGAUUAUCAGUUCAAAGUGGAUGAGAUGUUCCUCGUUAAUGAAAAUUCAUUAAAAUGAAUUGGUAGGCAAAUGUACCCUGUUUGUUAAAACUGAUAUCUUAGUUAAAAUAUGCAAGAACUUUAAUGCCUUAUCUGCAGUGUUUGAAUUCUGAAUAAAUGCUUAGACACCAAUUUAUUUACAGACCUUCUUAAAAAAAAAACACUUGUAACUUGUUGCAGCCUAAUUAAAUAAAGUUUCUAGAAUACAUACUUUAUGUAUGUAUGAAUGAAUGCACAUAUCUGAGAUUAGAUUUUUCCAAUCAUAACUAAUUUUUUCUAAUCUGUGUGUUUUACCUUGAUGUUAUAAAUUGUAAUGAGUGUGGAAAAUGUUUUGAAGAUUUUUGAAUGUUCUUAGUUUUUAUCAUCAAACUGAGGUGCUUUUAAAAACAUUUAUUAAAUACAAAGAGUGUAUUUCAUUUGAUAGGAAUUUAUUAUAGGACUAAAACACUAUCUGUAAGUGUAUUUAUGUGUUGUUCAUACACACAGAAGUGUAGUGCUUAUAGUGUUUCAGGGAAAGGGGUUUUAACUUUUGUCCCCUCACUGCUGUGUCGUUUGAUACCACUAUUCUGCUUCUCAGUGACAGAGUAAUAGGUUUAGAGCUGAACUGUUUCUUGGAUUUGUAUCAGUGUGACAUCAGAAUCUGUCCUUGAGGCUUAAAUCAUGGUUAUUUAAACACAGCUAUCUCUUUCUCAGUCUGCCAUUGUGAAUUUGUAUAGCUUUUACUGAUGGUUGAAUAGUGCACUGUUUGUUGAAUGGUGUAGCACCCCUCUCGAUGACAUGGGAGUUGUCAGCAGUGCAGUAGGAGUGUCAAACAAUUUUUUUGUUGUUUUAAGACUGUGGUUUCAAAUGUAAAAAAUGUGUCAGUAACUUCUGUUUGUGGAGGGAAGGGGGAAAUGGGAAGUGGUAUACCUUGGUUCUGCAGGUGUAUCAUGCAGCAAAUGAAAGAAUGAUCUUUAAAAGGCCCCAACAAUGUUUGUGAUUUGCUCAUUUUGUAAUUUAUUUUUACAACAGGUUCCCGUAAAGAAUCAGCUCCUCAAGUCCUGCUUCCAGAAGAAGAAAAAAUUAUUGUAGAAGAAACUAAAAGUAAUGGUCAGACUGUUAUAGAAGAGAAAAGCCUUGUUGACACAGUAUAUGCAUUAAAGGAUGAAGUACAGGAGUUAAGACAGGAUAACAAAAAGAUGAAGAAAUCAUUAGAAGAGGAACAAAGAGCUCGCAAGGACUUGGAGAAGCUUGUUAGAAAAGUCCUAAAGAACAUGAAUGAUCCAUCUUGGGAUGAAACCAACUUAUAACUAGUUUUUUUCUUUUUUGUCCCCCCCUUUUUCUUUCUAUUGAAAGACCAGUUGUAAAACUGAGCUGGGAAGCCUUCUGACGUUAGUCAGUGUUGCAUCAAGAACACUACAAAGCAGGAUUUAACUGGAUCUAGUGAUUUCUUCCUCUGAGCAUACAGAAACAGUCAAGCCAUUUUCUGAAGCAAUCUGUGCUUUAAGUGUGGAGACCAUGGAUCCUGAACUCUACUAAACUUAAUUUGUUUGCAUCUAAAUUACCUCAUUUGCAGAAAGUGCAGCACCUGACUAAAAGUCCAUGUUUUUCAGUGGCUUUUUAAUUAAAUAUAUAUUUUUCAUGUAAAUAGCUGUAAUUUUGAAUGCAUAUGUGAUUGAUGUAUCAGGGCUGAUAUGUUUGGGGUUUUUCUCUUGUUACUACAAUGGUCACAAGUGUUAGAAAUGAUGGCAGUACUGUCUUACCUAAGAAUGGUAUGAAUUAUGAAUUAGUUCCAAAUUACCCACUCAUCACACAUGCAAAUUUAAACCCCUCUUUUUCCUAUUGACCACUAUACUUAAAUCCUUGACUGUUACUUGUCUGUCCAUACAUUUUCAAACAGUUUACAAUUCCUUAAGAACGGUAUUAAAAUACAGAAAAUUGUUUAUUGACAGUAGAAACAAUUUUUAACAAAACUAAUGUCCACAACUUACAUUCACAUACACUUGUUUGGCAGACUAAUCUGUUGUGCUUUGGCCACCAGAAGACUGAUGUACUUGCCUGCUUUUUAUGAUUGUGAUUUUUAGGUGUUUGUGUACUACAUUUUCUGUUGUUGUGCUUAAACAUACAACUGGCUGAUAAUUUAAUGGAUCAUACUGUUUGUUAAACAAAAAAAAAAAAUCAAUCUAAUCCAGAAUUUUGUGAAUAAAUCAUUGCUAUUUAUAUUUUAUGGUCACAGCAGUUAAAUUUUAGCUAACCUUUGUGCAUAAGACACACAGGCUAGACCAAAUUUCUGUUUUUAUACCACUGUAAGACUCUCUGGAGUUCCCAUACUGUGGAAGCACUCAUUUCUUUCCUACCCUAUUUCCUCAACAUGUUGCUGGUUUCUGUCCUACUAGGAUUCAAAUGGAAAGAAAUAUGAAAAUAAGAUUUUUUUAUCUUUUAAAUCAUACUGUAAUUUUUACUUUGCACUGCUGACAGAUUUGAAAAUAUGUAAAGGAACAUUAAUUCCCAAGUCUGAUAGGUGCAAUUACUGCGGUUUCUUGUAUUUGAAAUAGGAGAUGCUACAUCACUGCAAAUGGUGAGCUUAAAAUGGAGUACUUAAAAUACUCAUCCCAUUAAAGCUCUUUUUUUUUCAUAGAUUUCAUCAAACUUUGGGUUCAACUCCAGAUGGUGCAGUUUUCUGAGGGGUUUUUAUUCAACUGACGGUCAGAAGUACAGGUAUAGCACAGACCUGAGUGGCACCUUUUACAGUCCUGAUUUUCUAGUGCCCUUUAACUCCUGUUAAAUGUAAUGCUCAGACUUGAGCAAAUGUUUAUAUGAACUUUAGUAAGUUGGAGCAAGGGUGAUUAGGGUUGUAAGAACUGUCAUGCACAUUUUAAAUCUUUUGGAAAAUCUAUUUUUAAAGCUAUCCACCUUUUUCAGCCAAGAACAGCUUUUUUAAAUAGGAAAUUAUGUCAGUUAUUGCAUACUUGUGAAACAAUUCUGUGGGAAUGGAUACUUGAUAAUCUGAAUAGACAAGUUGUCUGUUUUAAAAAGCUGAAUAUAUUUGUAGGUAUUUUGUGUUCUUGCAAUUUAAAAAUGUUUUCCUUUAAUCCUAAAGGAGGAGGAAAUGAAAAAUGUCUACAUUAUCAGAGUUACAUAUAUUCACAGAACUUUAAACUUAUUUUAAUUCUCUAUACCAAAAUCUUUUCUUGAUGUUUGCAGUUGCACGAAAGUGUGGACUGGCAUUUAUAUUUAUCUUCACAUUUAGGAAAUACUCUUGCUGAAAGCUAAGUGAUACUAAACCAUGCAAAUUCAUAGUAUCUUGGCCAUAUUUAGAUUUGGGAAUGCUGAUAUAAUUAGAAUUUUGCUAACAUUUUUACUUUCUGACAUUCAGGCAAAUUUACAGAGCGAACUUUAAUUUUCAGCUGAGCAUAUGCGAAAGGACAUUCCAGAGGAAGACGUAUAAAAGGAAAACACUAACCUUACCAGUAUUUAGCAAAUUUACUCAGGAAAAACUUCCAUCAUGACAAUUUGUUUUACCUUGUAUUGUGAAGAGUGGUGUUGCUAUGUAAAUCUGCUGACUCUUAGUGCCUGUGAUUAUUAUAAUUUCUGACAGUACCCCUAUACUGACAUCUAAUGAACAUGCCUUAAACACUGGGAUUAAGCAGUUGUAAAAUACGACCAGGACUUAGGGACUGACUUUAUUCAAGAUGGAUUGGGAUGACUAAUUUUCAUAAAAAAACACAAAAAAAAAAAGGGGGGAGAGGAGGUGGGAAGAAAACCAACCUAAUAUUGCAGAUAGCUUUUGCCUCUAGUGCAGAGAGCACCUUCAGGCUUUUGGGAACCAAGGAGUAUUUGAAGCUUUUUCCAUUGACAAUUUGUUACACUGUAUAUAAUUGUAAAUGUCACCAUGGACCUUCUGAAUUGUUGGAAACUUUAUAUAAGCAUGGAUAAAUGGGGCACUGUUUAUUUAACCUAUUAAAGGGUUAUUUGUUUGCUCUCAUCAUUUAGGGAUGAGGAGAUGAAGCCAUUUCUUGUCCUAUAGAUGUGAAGCACUUUCAGUUCUGAACUGUCCAAAAUGUAGCAUAACAUUUCGCUGUACUAUACUGAUGUAUGUGUGUUUGUCUCACCGUGUCAUGACGUCUUAAAGAUUGAACAACUGACUGCUUUUGUAUAAACCUUCUUAAUGUCAAUCAUUUAGGGAAUUUAGAGUGUCUGUUCAUGAUGUCUGUGGAGAACUCAAAUUUAGUUUAGAUGUCACAAUAAUAUCCUGGUAUCGACUACUAAGGCGUUUAUGCUACAUUGCUGUAAUUAAACCAUGAUUUUUCCCCCUUCCCUA